CCGGGUGUGGCGCAGUUUGGAAGCGCGGCUGCUUUGGGAGCAGAAGGUCGUGGGUUCAAAUCCUACCGCUCGGA
rnacentral:tRNA from 1 species